GCAAGUCGAGGGGUAACAUGAGUGCUUGCACUUGAUGACGACCGGCGCACGGGUGCGUAACGCCUAUACAAUCUGCCUUACACUGGGGGAUAGCCUUUGGAAACGAAGAUUAAUACCCCAUAGUAUCUAUGAGUGGCUUCACUUUUAGAUUAAAGGUUACGGUGUAAGAUGAGUAUGCGUCCUAUUAGUUAGUUGGUGUGGUAACGGCACACCAAGACUACGAUAGGUAGGGGCCCUGAGAGGGGGAUC
rnacentral:rRNA from 1 species